CUAUAAUGCAAGUCGAGCGAACAGAAGGGAGCUUGCUCCCGGAUGUUAGCGGCGGACGGGUGAGUAACACGUGGGUAACCUGCCUGUAAGACUGGGAUAACUCCGGGAAACCGGAGCUAAUACCGGAUAGUUCCUUGAACCGCAUGGUUCAAGGAUGAAAGACGGUUUCGGCUGUCACUUACAGAUGGACCCGCGGCGCAUUAGCUAGUUGGUGGGGUAAUGGCUCACCAAGGCGACGAUGCGUAGCCGACCUGAGAGGGUGAUCGGCCACACUGGGACUGAGACACGGCCCAGACUCCUACGGGAGGCAGCAGUAGGGAAUCUUCCGCAAUGGACGAAAGUCUGACGGAGCAACGCCGCGUGAGUGAUGAAGGUUUUCGGAUCGUAAAGCUCUGUUGUUAGGGAAGAACAAGUGCGAGAGUAACUGCUCGCACCUUGACGGUACCUAACCAGAAAGCCACGGCUAACUACGUGCCAGCAGCCGCGGUAAUACGUAGGUGGCAAGCGUUGUCCGGAAUUAUUGGGCGUAAAGGGCUCGCAGGCGGUUUCUUAAGUCUGAUGUGAAAGCCCCCGGCUCAACCGGGGAGGGUCAUUGGAAACUGGGAAACUUGAGUGCAGAAGAGGAGAGUGGAAUUCCACGUGUAGCGGUGAAAUGCGUAGAGAUGUGGAGGAACACCAGUGGCGAAGGCGACUCUCUGGUCUGUAACUGACGCUGAGGAGCGAAAGCGUGGGGAGCGAACAGGAUUAGAUACCCUGGUAGUCCACGCCGUAAACGAUGAGUGCUAAGUGUUAGGGGGUUUCCGCCCCUUAGUGCUGCAGCUAACGCAUUAAGCACU
rnacentral:rRNA from 1 species